rnacentral:rRNA from 1 species
AUAUCAAUAAGCGGAGGAAAAGAAACCAACAGGGAUUGCCUUAGUAACGGCGAGUGAAGCGGCAAGAGCUCAAAUUUGAAAUCUGGCUUAUGCCCGAAUUGUGAUUUGUAGAGGAAUGUUCGGGGAAGUUUAGGUCUGAUUUUUCUGGAAGGAAAAGCCAUUGAGGGUGAGAGCCCCGUACGACUGACGACUGAACCAUGUGUACGUCCUUCGAAGAGUCGAGUUGUUUGGGAAUGCAGCUCAAAAUGGGUGGUGAAAUUACCAUCUAAAGCUA